GUCUAUAACCACACCACCCUGAAAGUGUCUGGUCUUGUCUGAUCUCAGAAGCUAAGUGGGUUGGUCCUGGUUAGUACGACUGGAGGCCGCCUGGGAAUACUGGAUGCAGGGU
ensembl:rRNA 5S_rRNA 5S ribosomal RNA